UAACACGAACUGUGCGAACGUUAUUCGGAAUCACUGGGCUUAAAGGGUGCGUAGGCGGCUAAGUAGGUCAGAUGUGAAAGCCCACGGCUCAACCGUGGAAUUGCGUUUGAAACCCCUUAGCUUGAGUAAGAUAGAGGUAAGCGGAACUGAUGGUGGAGCGGUGAAAUGCGUUGAUAUCAUCAGGAACACCGGUGGCGAAGGCGGCUUACUGGGUCUUUACUGACGCUGAGGCACGAAAGCUAGGGGAGCGAACGGGAUUAGAUACCCCGGUAGUCCUAGCUGUAAACGAUGAGCACUAGCUCGUGUCCCCUCCCACAAGGGCUCGGGCGUAGCGAAAGUGUUAAGUGCUCCGCCUGGGGAGUAUGGUCGCAAGGCUG
rnacentral:rRNA from 1 species